GGAUUAGAUACCCUGGUAGUCCACGCUGUAAACGAUGUCUACUUGGAGGUUGUGACCUAGAGUCGUGGCUUUCGGAGCUAACGCGUUAAGUAGACCGCCUGGGGAGUACGGUCGCAAGAUUAAAACUCAAAUGAAUUGACGGGGGCCCGCACAAGCGGUGGAGCAUGUGGUUUAAUUCGAUGCAACGCGAAGAACCUUACCUACUCUUGACAUCCAGAGAAGCUUGCGGAGACGCAGGUGUGCCUUCGGGAGCUCUGAGACAGGUGCUGCAUGGCUGUCGUCAGCUCGUGCCG
rnacentral:rRNA from 1 species